rnacentral:rRNA from 1 species
CCUACGGGGGGCAGCAGUGAGGAAUAUUGGUCAAUGGACGAGAGUCUGAACCAGCCAAGUAGCGUGAAGGAUGACUGCCCUAUGGGUUGUAAACUUUUUUUAUAUGGGAAUAAAACGUUCCACGUGUGGGAUUUUGUAUGUACCAUUUGAAUAAGGAUCGGCUAACUCCGUGCCAGCAGCCGCGGUAAUACGGAGGAUCCGAGCGUUAUCCGGAUUUAUUGGGUUUAAAGGGAGCGUAGGUGGAUUGUUAAGUCAGUUGUGAAAGUUUGCGGCUCAACCGUAAAAUUGCAGUUGAAACUGGCAGUCUUGAGUACAGUAGAGGUGGGCGGAAUUCGUGGUGUAGCGGUGAAAUGCUUAGAUAUCACGAAGAACUCCGAUUGCGAAGGCAGUUCACUGGACUGCAACUGACACUGAGGCUCGAAAGUGUGGGUAUCAAACAGGAUUAGAUACCCUUGUAGUC